GCGAUGGAAGAGUUCAUGUCGUGUUUCAGAAUGAUUCAGACAUCUAAGAAGGUCAUUCAGAUGUUGUUGAAGACAUAUACAGUUAGAAAUGACCCUCUCAUUUUGUGCCAUAACCGUCUAUUUCUUCAAUGAUACUGGAAUCAUUCUGAAACAUGAUGUGGACUCUUCCAUGG
rnacentral:pre_miRNA from 1 species